CCCGGGUCUUGUACACACCGCCCGUCACACCAUGGGAGCGGGUUCUGCCAGAAGUAGUUAGCCCAACCGCAAGGGGGGCGAUUACCACGGCAGGGUUCGUGACUGGGGUG
rnacentral:rRNA from 1 species